AAUAAUAAAAUAUUUUAUAUUA
rnacentral:tRNA from 1 species